rnacentral:rRNA from 1 species
UACGUAGGUGACAAGCGUUAUCCGGAAUUACUGGGCGUAAAGCGCACGCAGGCGGCGCCGUAAGUCUGAUGUGAAAUCUCCUGGCUUAACUGGGAGGGGUCAUUGGAAACUGUGGUGCUUGAGGCGAUGAGAGGGGUGUAGAAUUCCCGGUGUAGUGGUGGAAUGCGUAGAUAUCGGGAGGAAUACCAGUGGCGAAGGCGGGUCUCUGGGCAGUAACUGACGCUGAGGAGCGAAAGCGUGGGGAGCGAACAGG